UACAGAGGGUGCAAGCGUUGUUCGGAAUUAUUGGGCGUAAAGAGUUCGUAGGCGGUUGCCUAAGUCUGAUGUUAAAUACUGGAGCUCAACUCCGGCAUGGCAUUGGAAACUGGGCGGCUAGAGUGUGGUAGAGGUCUCGGGAAUUCCAGGUGUAGCGGUGAAAUGCGUAGAUAUCUGGAGGAACACCGGUGGCGAAAGCGCGAGACUGGGCCAUAACUGACGCUGAGGAACGAAAGCCAGGGGAGCGAAAGGG
rnacentral:rRNA from 1 species